CAUUGUAAGCAUGAAAUACUGAAUAUAAACAUCCAGGCAAAAACGGUAGAAGAGGACAUAUACUGCGCAGUUAUUUAAUGACCUGUGUUUAAGUGCAUCGGUUCGAAAGGGAGAACGACAUGUAUAAUCAAGCAGGAUACCAUUGAUCAUCGAUGUGUCAAAAUUUAUUUUAGAGAGGAAAACUUAUUAUGUAACAAAGAAGACAUGAUUACCGAUGAAGACGAAUAUUUUCUGAGAGCCUCCAUUUUGCUACUGAAAGGCGGGCGAUUGAUGUCAAAAGAAACUUUGUAUAAAGAACUACAAAAGGUCGGGGGCAAUCUUGAUACACUUCUACGACCGCACGAAAGAAAAUUCAAGCACAAACUUGUAAAGAAACAGAGGGAGUAAUUGUUUCCAGAUGUUGGAGUAACCGACGUGGAAACAUGGGAUUUAGCCAUGCUUACAACGGUGUCACUGACGGUUUUUAAACAGUCACUUAACGACACUGAGAAAAAUGACUUAAAAUCUAUAAAGAGUAUGAGGGAUGAGAUUUACGCCCAUACUUAUUCUUCGUCGCUAAGUGCCAACCAAUACGAAGAAAUCCGGACGGAAUUACAAAACGCACUCACUUCACUGUCAAAUGGGUUAAGCGAAAACCUGAGAGACCACUGUUUCAAGAUCAUUCAGGAAUGCACAACUGGCCCUAUCAGUCCACCAUUAAAAGCAGAACUUACGAAAAGAUAGAAGAUACUGAAUACUUGCUACAGGCUGUCAUGAACAAACUUGGGAACCAGAGUGAAUUUCUUUGCGAAAUGAGAAACGGUGAAAAUUCAGAAAAAGUGUCACAAGCAGCUGUUGAAAACAAUGCUAGUUCCCUCAAAGACAUCAGAGCAAAUCAGUUGAUAAAGG